UUGCUUAAGCAGAACAAACUCUCUUAACUUAUUCUGUGAUUGAUAAGGAACCUCAAACUUACUCUGUGAUUUGUCUUCAGGUUGUCUAUUUGCUUCUUGAAGACCUCAGACCAGAAGUCUUUGCAUAUAAAUUUGAUAGCCUCUAAAUGUUCAGUGAAUCGGGGCCUAUCCAUAGUAUACCUAGCAAAAAUAAUUAUAUCAAGGUCAGUCGGAAAGUGAAACAUGAAAGCUAGGAUAUGAUGCAACUUAGGAAUAUGGCACAAACUCUCUUAACUUAUUCUGUGAAUGAUGAGGAACCUCAAACUUACUCUGUGAUUUGUCUUCAGGUUGUCUAUUUGCUUCUUGAAGACCUCAGACCAGAAGUCCUUGCAUAUGAAUUUGAUAGCCUCUAAAUGAUCAGUGAACCGGGGCCUAUCCAUAGUAUACCUAGCAAAAAUAAUUAUAUCAAGGUCAGCCGGAAAGUGAAACAUGAAAGCUAGGAUAUGAUGCAACUUAGCAAUAAUUAUUUUCAUAAAAGAAUCCAACUUAGUAGC
rnacentral:lncRNA from 1 species